rnacentral:tRNA from 1 species
GGUGAGGUGGGUGAGUGGCUUAAACCACCGGUUUGCUAAACCGACGUACUGUAACAGGUACCGCGGGUUCGAAUCCCGCCCUCACCG